rnacentral:rRNA from 1 species
UACGGGGGGAGCAAGCGUUGUUCGGAUUUACUGGGCGUAAAGGGCGCGUAGGCGGCCACCGCAAGUCGGUUGUGAAAUCUCCGGGCUUAACCCGGAAAGGUCAAUCGAUACUGCGGGGCUAGAGUGCAGAAGGGGCAACUGGAAUUCUCGGUGUAGCGGUGAAAUGCGUAGAUAUCGAGAGGAACACCUGCGGCGAAGGCGGGUUGCUGGGCCCUACCUGACGCUGAGACGCGAAAGCGUGGGGAGCGAACCGG